rnacentral:lncRNA from 1 species
UCUAACUCUGCUUUCUUUACCAGGUAGCAUUUGUCUCCACGGUUGGAAGACUGCUGCUGCAGCACAGACUGGUGUCUCUAUUAAUAGAUAUCUCAGUUGCACUACAGACAGGAAGAAGGGCAAAGGGGAAGAACACGAUGGCUUUUAGCAGCCUGACGCCUUGGUUUUUAGUUUCUGUCUCUAGUGACAGGUGGAAAAGAAGGAUGAGGAAGGGGCUUUACUGGCCCAACCAGAAAUAGUAACUAAGAACCCAUGACUGUAUUCUCUCCCUUGGACACCCCUGGGAAGCUCUGUACUGAAAAAAAAUGAAAGCCUUCCAGAUGUGUUCUGCUAUGGUCCACAGGCUGGAGGGUGCAUGGAACCCACCCAGAGGUGCUCUGCAAUCAGCAAUUCAGUGAGCCAUUCACAGUCCAACCAGUUGCCUUCUGAUGAGAAUGCAUCACACCGCAUGUGGGGAGGGCCAUGUGGGAAUUCUCACACCUGUUGCCUAGAUGCCUGUGUCUGGUUAGAACCACUGCAUGCUUUCUUUCAGUCUACAUUGAAUACGUCUUUGCUGCUCUGGGAUCCAUCCUCCAGUCUUCAGUCAGCUAAGAAAAUGACCUGUGGGCACGUUGGCUUCCUUUCUUCGGAUUAAGUGGUUGUUCAGAGAGAGGCUGAGUCUGAUUGUUUACACAAGAAGGAAGUGAACACUGGCUGUGUGCCUGGCACUGUUAGGAGCCAUCAAACCAUGUCCAGAAAGGACGCAGGGAAAGGAGAUGUCGAUGUUUCCAGACAUUUUGUGAUGUGAAGAGAGCGCCUGAAGAUUCUAGAUUCUUCCCUAUGAAUUCAUGUUCCUUUUGCAAUCAGAAAAGAAAAAGAAGUACUUUAUUUCACUUCCCCAGUUAUGAAUGCCUUGGGAGCCGGGAUUCUACCACGGCCGAGCCUGCCGUUCUCCCGGUGAGCAUGGCUGUGUCAUUCCUCUUGAGUUUUGGGUGGUCUUAAACAUGAUUGGUGUCACUCCAGUGAUUAGGCUAUGUUAUCUGGCAAGGUUGAAGAGAUUUUGUAAUGAAGUCUCUAAUCAGUUGACUUUAAUCAAAAGGGAUUUUAUCCUGGUGGGCCUUUUGAAGCUGGUACAGAGAUAACAGACUCUUCUGCUGGCCUUCAAGAAGCAAGCUGCUGUGAGCUCUACAGCUGCACUGAACUGAAUUCUGCAAACAACUGUGCUUGGAAGAGGACCCUGAGCCUCACAUGAGACCCCAGCCCCAUCCAUUCCCUGGACUGCAGCUUUGUGAGACCCCCAGUUAAGUGUGCCUAGACUCCUGACCCAUGGACACUGUGAAAUAGUAAGCGUGUGUUGUUUUAAGUAACUUUGUAGUAAUUAUUUUUUACAUAGCAAUGGGAAAUCAAUACAAAUACUAUUUUAAAAAUCCAAAGUAAAUCCAGUACCCCCACCAUUACCUCAAUACCCACAGUCAUUGGCUGGGAGCAGCCUGGGAGAGCAGGCUCUUGUUAAGGGUUCAGGAAGGAAUCAAAGGUGUGGUAGCUGGAGGCUGUCAGCCAGGUUCUUUCCAAGGGAGAUGGAGCAGCCCAACUCCAGGUCCCCACACCUCCUGCUGACAUCUCCACCCACAAUUCAGCCGCUUCCCUCCCUCUUUAUUAAGACUUUUCUUGUGAAAUCACUAAAGACCUGCAAAUCCCCAGGCCAGGAUGAAGCCCACCAUCUCCUUUCUCUGUGCCUGCAACUGUGCCUCUAAGCCUUGGCAAUGGAAACGAAAGACACACCUUAGUAGUCACUGUAAAUGGAUCAUUGUCACCUUCCAAUGGACACACAACACUGCCCCUAACUCACAACACUCUCUAAUAAGUAUGUUCUUCUUCUCUUUGCAAUGGCAACCUCAUACCUUCUCUAAACUUCUCAAACCUCCCACCUCUCCUCCUCAUCCCCAACCCCUACCUGGCCCUUCACUUGAGACUCCGGCUGCUUAAUUAUACUUACUUGAGAAAAUGAAAUCUAUCAGUUUAGCACUCUCAUUUCCCCAUAACUGUAACCGCCCAAUGGGUUCACCUUGCCCGCUGCCUAGACAGAGCCUAUUUCCCAAGACAGGUGAAUUGCAAAGAGAAAGAGUGAUUCACACAGAGCCGGCUGUGCAGGAGACCAGAGUUUUGUUAUUACUCAAAUUAAUCUCCCAGAGCAUUCAGGCAUCAGAGUUUUUAAGGACAACUUAGUAGGUGGGGGGAAACCAGUGAAGCCAGGAGUGCUGAUUGGUCAGGUCAGAGGUGAAAUCAGGGGAAGUUGAGGCUGUCCUCUU